rnacentral:rRNA from 1 species
GACCGGCGCACGGGUGCGUAACGCGUAUGCAACUUACCCACGAGAGAGGGAUAGCCCAGAGAAAUUUGGAUUAAUACCUCAUAGUUUUACCGGGCCGCAUGACUUGGUAAAUAAAUGAAUUUCGCUCGUGGAUGGGCAUGCGUAUGAUUAGCUAGUUGGUGAGGUAACGGCUCACCAAGGCGACGAUCAUUAGCUGGUCUGAGAGGAUGAUCAGCCACACGGGAACUGAGACACGGUCCCGACUCCUACGGGAGGCAGCAGUGAGGAAUAUUGGACAAUGGGGGCAACCCUGAUCCAGCCAUGCCGCGUGGAGGAAGACGGCCUUUGGGUUGUAAACUCCUUUUAUAUGAGACUAAUAAGGUGGUAUACUCACCGAUGCAGGUACCAUAUGAAUAAGCACCGGCUAACUACGUGCCAGCAGCCGCGGUAAUACGUAGGGUGCAAGCGUUGUCCGGAUUUAUUGGGUUUAAAGGGUGCGUAGGCGGUUUAUUAAGUCAGUGGUUAAAUACUGAGGCUCAACCUUGGUCCGCCAUUGAUACUGAUAGACUUGAGUAUGUUAGAGGAAAUUGGAAUGUGUGGUGUAGCGGUGAAAUGCAUAGAUAUCACACAGAACACCGAUUGCGAAGGCAGAUUUCUAUAACACAACUGACGCUGAUGCACGAAAGCGUGGGGAGCGAACAGGAUUAGAUACCCUGGUAGUCCACGCUGUAAACGAUGAUCACUAGGUGUUCGGGGAUUUAAUCCUGAGUGCCCAAGCGAAAGCGAUAAGUGAUCCACCUGGGGAGUACGUCGGCAACGAUGAAACUCAAAGGAAUUGACGGGGGCCCGCACAAGCGGUGGAGCAUGUGGUUUAAUUCGAUGAUACGCGAGGAACCUUACCUGGGCUCGAAUGCCUCUGACA